GCUCCUAUUACGGUCACCGACUUCAGGUACCCCAGACUUCCAUGGCUUGACGGGCGGUGUGUACAAGGCCCGGGAACGUAUUCACCGCGCCAUGGCUGAUGCGCGAUUACUAGCGAUUCCAGCUUCAUAGAGUCGAGUUGCAGACUCCAAUCCGAACUGAGACCGGCUUUCGAGAUUCGCAUCCUGUCACCAGGUAGCUGCCCUCUGUACCGGCCAUUGUAUUACGUGUGUGGCCCAAGACGUAAGGGCCGUGAUGAUUUGACGUCAUCCCCACCUUCCUCUCUACUUGCGUAGGCAGUCCCAACAGAGUCCCCAACUGAAUGAUGGCAACUGUUGGCAGGGGUUGCGCUCGUUGCAGGACUUAACCUAACACCUCACGGCACGAGCUGACGACAACCAUGCAGCACCUUGAAAAUUGCCCGAAGGAGGAUCUAUUUCUAAAUCUGUCAAUUCCCAUUUAAGUCUUGGUAAGGUUCCUCGCGUAUCAUCGAAUUAAACCACAUAAUCCACCGCUUGUGCGGGCCCCCGUCAAUUCCUUUGAGUUUCAUCCUUGCGGACGUACUCCCCAGGUGGCUAACUUAUCACUUUCGCUUGGUCUCUGAACCCGAAGAUCCAAAAACGAGUUAGCAUCGUUUACGGCGUGGACUACCAGGGUAUCUAAUCCUGUUCGCUCCCCACGCUUUCGUCCAUCAGCGUCAGUUAAAUCUUAGUGACCUGCCUUCGCAAUCGGUGUUCUAAGUAAUAUCUAUGCAUUUCACCGCUACACUACUUAUUCCAGCCACUUCAAAUUUACUCAAGGCCUGCAGUAUCAAUGGCAGUUUCAUAGUUAAGCUAUGAGAUUUCACCACUGACUUACAGGCCCGCCUACGGACCCUUUAAACCCAAUAAAUCCGGAUAACGCUCGCACCCUCCGUAUUACCGCGGCUGCUGGCACGGAGUUAGCCGGUGCUUAUUCGUACAGUACCUUCAGCUGCCCUCACGAGGGCAGGUUUAUCCCUGUACAAAAGAAGUUUACAAUCCAUAGAACCGUCAUCCUUCACGCGGGAUGGCUGGAUCAGGCUUCCACCCAUUGUCCAAUAUUCCUCACUGCUGCCUCCCGUAGGAGUCUGGUCCGUGUCUCAGUACCAGUGUGGGGGAUCUCCCUCUCAGGACCCCUAAAGAUCAUCGACUUGGUGGGCCGUUACCCCGCCAACUAUCUAAUCUUGCGCGUGCCCAUCUCUAUCCGCCGAGGCUUUCAAUGGCGACCGAUGCCGGACACCAUAUUAUGGGGUAUUAAUCUUCCUUUCGAAAGGCUAUCCCCCAGAUAAAGGCAGGUUGCACACGUGUUACGCACCCGUACGCCGCUCUCUGGAUAGCAAGCUAUCCAUACCGCUCGGCU
rnacentral:rRNA from 1 species